rnacentral:rRNA from 12 species
GGCUCACCAAGGCGACGAUCUCUAGCUGGUCUGAGAGGAUGAUCAGCCACACUGGGACUGAGACACGGCCCAGACUCCUACGGGAGGCAGCAGUGGGGAAUAUUGGACAAUGGGGGCAACCCUGAUCCAGCCAUGCCGCGUGAGUGAAGAAGGCCUUCGGGUUGUAAAGCUCUUUCAGAUGCGAAGAUGAUGACGGUAACAUCAGAAGAAGCCCCGGCUAAUUUCGUGCCAGCAGCCGCGGUAAUACGAGAGGCCCGAGCGUUAGGCGGAAUCACUGGGCUUAAAGGGUGCGUAGGCGGAUCAGUAAGCAUUUUGUGAAAUCCCUCGGCUCAACCGAGGAAUUGCAGAGUGAACUGCUGGUCUUGAGGUAGGCAGAGGUCAUCGGAA